UACAGAGGGUGCAAGCGUUAAUCGGAAUUACUGGGCGUAAAGCGUGCGUAGACGGUUAUGUAAGUCGGGUGUGAAAGCCCCGGGCUCAACCUGGGAAUUGCAUUCGAGACUGCAUAGCUAGGGUGCGGAAGAGGGAAGCGGAAUUUCCGGUGUAGCGGUGAAAUGCGUAGAUAUCUGGAGGAACACCAGUGGCGAAAGCGCGUGACUGGGCCACAACUGACGCUGAGGAACGAAAGCCAGGGGAGCGAAAGGG
rnacentral:rRNA from 1 species